rnacentral:tRNA from 1 species
GAGCCUGUGGCCCAAACGGGUAGGGCGCUGGCCCCAUAUGCCAGAGAGUGGCAGGUUCA